rnacentral:rRNA from 1 species
GACGAACGCUGGCGGCGUGCUUAACACAUGCAAGUCGAGCGGUAAGGCUCCUUCGGGAGUACACGAGCGGCGAACGGGUGAGUAACACGUGAGCAAUCUGCCCUUCACUUCGGGAUAACUCCGGGAAACCGGAGCUAAUACCGAAUACGACCACUUCAGGCAUCUGAUGGUGGUGGAAAGUUCCGGCGGUGAAGGAUGAGCUCGCGGCCUAUCAGCUUGUUGGUGGGGUAACGGCCCACCAAGGCAACGACGGGUAGCCGGCCUGAGAGGGUGACCGGCCACACUGGGACUGAGACACGGCCCAGACUCCUACGGGAGGCAGCAGUGGGGAAUAUUGGACAAUGGGCGAAAGCCUGAUCCAGCAACGCCGCGUGAGGGAUGACUGCCUUCGGGUUGUAAACCUCUUUCAGCAGGGACGAAGCGCAAGUGACGGUACCUGCAGAAGAAGCACCGGCCAACUACGUGCCAGCAGCCGCCGUAAAAC